rnacentral:lncRNA from 1 species
CAACCCGGCCCACAGCAGUGACCCCACACCUGCAGGCUGGAGGGCAGAGCCACAGGCCGGGAGGGCAGGGCCCAGCGCCACGCAGGCACUGGCACAGCCUUGGGAGGCCCGGGCAAGGGCUGGGGGCACGGAACAGGAGGUGGAGGGACAGCCAAGCCUGCGGGAAAGAGAAGACAGGGCACACACACAGAUACACACACACACACACACAGAGACACGGGCGCACACACAGGUGCGCGGCACAGUCACAUCCUAACGGGAAGCUAAUUAAUGCCUGAGCUUAGAAACCCAGAGGCUGAAACAGAAAGAAACAAAGAAACAGAGACAAAAAGGAACAAAACGAAAGAGAAAGAGAAAGAGACAGGAAGACAGAGGGGACGAGAGAGCAGCGCCCAGCCACCCAGGCCGCCUCUUAGGAACCGGAUUCGGAUUGAACGAAGAGACCCACCGAGAAUGAAAGAAAGAGGACAGUGUCCUAGUGAUGUGAGGGACCCUCGGCACAGCCCCUGCUGGAUUCAGGCCACAGUAAGGGACCCUGUGCCACAGACACCGGCCUGCACACACUGUGCUCCAGUGCACACUAGCCACACACACCCCAGGCAGGCGCACGGCGGCCACAGAACAUCACACAGUGCAACACACACACACACACACACACACACACGCGCGCGCGCCUGGACCGCGGGAGAGGAGUGGGGGAGCUCGAGGUACAGGGAGGAGAACGGGGUCCAGACCCAAGAAAUCACACACACGUGCACACUCACAUGUGCACACUCACAGAGAGCAGCAGGGUGCCCAGGGCAAAGACAGAUGAAGCCCCAGCGUGGAGAGGGACAGGUGGGAGACCAACAGGAAGGGCAGGAGCUGCAGGCCUCCCUCCUCUCUUGGAGACUGUGUCUGUCUGUCCUCUCUCACACUCUCUGGCCCUGGCUCGGGCUUUUCUGCUGCCUGGGGGCCCCCUCUGCUGCCCCCCUCCCCUCCUUUCUCCCACCCAUCCUUUGGCCUUUGCUUGCUCAGGGGGCCUCCCUGCCCCUCUGGACGGGCUCAGAACUGGCUCCUGAGGUCUCAGGCCUUUCUGCAUGUCCCUCCCUCCUGUCCUUCAGGCCUUGCCUUGCGGAAGGCUGGACCUGGCUGAUUUCCUCACCCCUAACCCCUAACCCCAGCCGGGGGGCGGGGGGCCUUCAGCAGGGGCUCCGUGGAGCUGGCCAAGGGAAGGACGCAGAGCCAGAGAGGGGACGAGCGGACGAGGGCUUCUGCGCCUGAGUGAGAGGGAGCGGGAGCUUCAGGACUGAGCUGGAGAGAAAAAGCUG